rnacentral:rRNA from 1 species
GACGAACGCUGGCGGCGUGCUUAACACAUGCAAGUCGAACGGUGAAGGGACUGGUUUUGCUGGUCCUGGAUGAGUGGCGACCGGGUGAGUAACACGUGAGUAACCUGCCCCCUUCUUCUGGAUAACCGCAUGAAAGUGUGGCUAAUACGGGAUAUUCUGGGUCUGUCGCAUGGUGGGCCUGGGAAAGAUUGCGCCUUUUUUGGUGUUUUUGGUGGGGGAUGGGCUCGCGGCCUAUCAGCUUGUUGGUGGGGUGAUGGCCUACCAAGGCGGUGACGGGUAGCCGGCCUGAGAGGGUGGACGGUCACACUGGGACUGAGACACGGCCCAGACUCCUACGGGGGGCAGCAGUGGGGAAUAUUGCACAAUGGGCGCAAGCCUGAUGCAGCGACGCCGCGUGAGGGAUGGAGGCCUUCGGGUUGAGAACCUCUUUCGCCAGUGAAGCAGGCCUGCCUCUUUUUGUGGGUGGGUUGACGGUAGCUGGAUAAGAAGCGCCGGCUAACUACGUG